rnacentral:lncRNA from 1 species
GAUUGCUGCUCAAUUUCCAGUACCUCGUCAUCGAUUCUUUUCCAUGUAAUUUCUCUUCUUCCCCUGUUAAAUAGGUUUCUUGCAAUCGUUUUGCAAUACAUUGUUGAUUGAUGCUGCUCGAUUUUUAUAUGGAUUGAACGAUUUACAGUUGAUUGAUGCUACUUGAUAGUGUAUUUGGACUGAUGUACAACGGAUUGAUGUUUUAUGCUUCUCGAUUGAUUAUAUGG